GAUGAAGAACGUAGCGAAAUGCGAUACGUAAUGUGAAUUGCAGAAUUCAGUGAAUCAUCGAGUCUUUGAACGCACAUUGCGCCCUCUGGUAUUCCGGAGGGCAUGCCUGUCCGAGCGUCAUUGCUACCCUCAAGCACGGCUUGUGUGUUGGGCCCCGCCCCCCGAUCCCGGGGGGCGGGCCCGAAAGGCAGCGGCGGCACCGCGUCCGGUCCUCGAGCGUAUGGGGCUUUGUCACCCGCUCUGUAGGCCCGGCCGGCGCCUGCCGAUCAACCAAACUUUUUUCCAGGUUGACCUCGGAUCAGGUAGGGAUACCCGCUGAACUUAAGCAUAUCAAUAAGCGGAGGA
rnacentral:misc_RNA from 1 species